UCCCGUUGAUCCUGCGGGGGGCUGCUGCUAUCAGGGUUCGAAUAAGCCAUGCAAGUCAGACAGCAAUGUCGGCAAACUGCGUAGUAACACGUCGGUAAUCUGCCCUAAGGUGGGGGAUAACCUCGGGAAACUGAGGAUAAUACCCUAUAAGAAAAGGAAACUGGAAUGUUCCUUUUUUCAAAGGCAACGCCUUAGGAUGAGCCGGCGGCCGAUUAGGUUGUUGGUGAGGUAACUGCUCACCAAGCCGUAGAACGGUAGGGGCAUUGAAAGAUGUCGCCUCACGAAGGGCACGGAGGUACUGGCCCUAGCCCUACGGGGUGCAGCAGGCGCGAAGUCUUUACAAUACACGAAAGUGUGAUAAGGGAACCCUGAGUGCUCAUGCGCUGCAUGGGCUUUUGCCAAGAGCAAAUAUCUUGGAGAAUAAGUGGUGGGCAAGACCGGUGCCAGCCGCCGCGGUAACACCGGCGCCACAAGUGGUGGCCUAGUAUUUGGCCUAAAGCAUCCGUAGCUGGUCUGUUAAAUCUCUUGUGAAAUUGUUGAGCUCAACUCAACAGCGUGCAGGAGAGACUGGCAGACUUGAGACUGGGACGAGCCAGAGGUAUUCUAUGGGGAGCGGUAAAAUGCUAUAAUCCACAGAAGACCACCGAUAGCGAAGGCAUCUGGCUAGAACAGAUCUGACAGUGAGGGAUGAAAGCGAGGGGAGCAAAACGGAUUAGAUACCCGAGUAGUCCUCGCUGUAAACACUGCGAGUUAGGUAUUGCACAUUCCUAGAGAAUGUGCAGUAUCAAAGCGAAGGCGAGAACUCGCCGCCUGGGUAGUAUGGUCGCAAGGCUGAAACUUAAAGGAAUUGGCGGGGAGACACCACAAGGGGUGCGGCGUGCGGUUUAAUUGAACUCAACGCCGGAAAUCUCACCAGGAGCGACGGCAGUAUGAAGGUCAGUCUAAAGGGCUUACCUAACGGGCCGAGAGGUGGUGCAUGGCCGUCGUCAGCUCGUGCUGUAAGGUGUCCUGUUAAGUCAGGUAACGAGCGAGACCUGUAUCCAUAGUUGCUACCGAGUCAGAGAUGAUGAUCGGGCACACUAUGGAAACUGCCUUCGUAAGAAGGAGGAAGGUGCAGGCUACGGUAGGUCUGUAUGCCCCGAAUCCCCUGGGCUACACGCGCGCAACAAUGGUAGGGACAAUGGGAUACGACCGCGAAAGCGGAAGUCAAACCUCUAAACCCUAUCUUAGUUCAGAUCGAGGGUUGCAACUCACCCUCGUGACGUCGGAAUCCCUAGUAAUCAGAAGUCACUAUCUUCUGGUGAAUAUGUCCCUGUCUCUUGCACACACCGCCCAUCAUCCCAUCCGAGCUGAGUUUGAAUGAGGUGCAGCUUCUUGGCUGAAACGAAUUCAAGCUUAGUGAGGCGGGGCAAGUUGUCACAAGGUA
rnacentral:rRNA from 1 species